rnacentral:rRNA from 1 species
AUGUCGGCUCAAGCAAUCUCAACACUUGUGCAAAAAUUCUCAUGGGCAAAGUUGAAGAGCACAAAGAUUAAGAGGCACGGAUGGAGUAAACUAGCAGAGGGGAUCAUCAAACUAAAUGUUGGCGCCACCUUCGGUUAUGAUAAUGGCACAGGAAGUACCGGUGCAGUGCUUCGCGACGAUCAUGGCUUUUUCAUUGCAGCUGCAUGCAAACAUACCCUUCGUGGAAGAUGCGACGGCGGAAGCAAGAGGAUUACAAAAUGGACUCAUACUCACGAAUGA